AAUGAGCUACGCCGGCAACCACGGUACCAAGGGGUUUGGAAAUUGGGAGCUCAUCAGCCCCCAUUCGGAGCUGAACCGUGCCAACCGUGAUGAAAAAUGAUCGCCGCGUGCAGGUGUGACGUCGAAAUGAAAGGGAAUGCCAUGAAACCGGAGACCGGUGUAGCAGCAGCAACAACAGCAAAAAACUGAUGUAAGUAAAGCAGAUCUUGAAUCAUAAAAAGCGCAAAUGCUA